AUUGAACGCUGGCGGCAGGCCUAACACAUGCAAGUCGAACGAGUGGCGGACGGGUGAGUAAUGUCUGGGAAACUGCCUGAUGGAGGGGGAUAACUACUGGAAACGGUAGCUAAUACCGCAUACCAUCAGAUGUGCCCAGAUGGGAUUAGCUAGUGGGUGGGGUAACGCCUGACCAAGGCGAAGAUCCCUAGCGGGUCUGAGAGGAUGACGAGCCACACUGGAACUGGGACACGGUCCAGACCCCUACGGGAGUCAGCAGUGGGGAAUAUUGCACAAUGGGCGCAAUCCUGAUGCAGCCAUGCCGGGUGUAUGAAGAAGGCUUUCGGGUUGUAAACUACUUUCAGCGGGGAGGCGUUACCCGCAGAAGAAGCACCGGCUAACUCCGUGCCAGCAGCCGCGGUAAUUC
rnacentral:rRNA from 1 species